GCGCUCCUAAAACAAAGAAGAUUAAAGAGUCAAUUUUCUUCUAAGAGUGUGGAGUUGGCAGGAAAACCAGAGAGUGAGUCUCUUUAAAAUGAAGGAGGAGGAGAAAAAAGAGAAGGUAAAAGAAGACACCUCUUCAUUUCCCUAGUUGGAAUCCUUCUAUGGAAAUUCUGCUCCUGCUCUUUCUACACAUGUUCAAGGACAGCUUAUGACAGCCAAGGAGACAGCAAAAGGACCCAGGUUUCUCUGUGCACAUAGAGAGAUCAUUUGGAUUACCUGAACUUUUCUUUUGCUCAAACUUGAAAAGGUAAGAAGACCAAACAAAUGAGGAAAAAAAUAGUGAGUGACUACACUAGCAAAGAAAAACAGCCUGCAAGUAAGUGGCAGGUUGGCAGGCUGCCCUGUGUCAGGUGGAGAACGUGGAGCCAUUGGCCAGGUGGCAUCUCCCACAUUGUCCUCCUAACAGUCAAUGGAAAGAGCACACGUUUGGACUUGCCGUCUGACAGACUUGCCUGUGUGUAGCGGAGGCACAGUUCAAGCGGUGCUGCAGCUUUGAUGGCACGCUUACUGCCAAGCUUACUGAGCUGCACCAGCAGAGCCAGGGUCCAGGUGCACCCUCCUUACCAGCCUACAAAGCUCUUGCGAACGUUCAGCAAACUUUGUAGGUCCCAUUUGUGCCAGUUGCCAGUGUUCUUUGCCGUUAGGCCAGAGACAAACAUGGCUCUGUUAGAAAGUAUAUUUCUCUGAAUGAAGCAAAAAUGACACUUACUCAUCUAGGACCUGUGGUCCCCAAACGUGAAUCAUUUUGUUCACUAAUGAGACCCUACAGGAAACUGAGAAGGAUUUUCAGUAGCUAAAGAUUCAUAUCACAGAGACUAGGGAUAUGGCUCCUUCUGGUGCGAUGUUUGCCUAGUGCACAUGAAACCCUGGGUACAAACCCAGCACCACACAGAACCAGGGUAAAGCCGGGAAGUUCUGGGUAGAGGCACUUGCCCCCAAGCCUGGCCACCUAAGUUUGAUCCUCAGGCCAACAUAGCAGAAGGAAAGAAGAAUGGGUUCCUGUAAGUUGUCCUCUGACCUCCCUACACACAUUGUAGCAAGCAAGUGCCAGUGAGGCCAGGGAUUGAGAACUGAAACCGUUAGCCAAAAUAAGUCAUCCCUCCCUUUAAGUUGCUUUUCUCUGGUACACAUCACAGCAAUAAGGAGCUAACAAACACACAAAGCCCAGGCAAGUUUUAUUAAAGCAAAGGUACUUAAAUGCUUGAAAUUCAUUGUUAAAGUUAUUUUACCACAGUUUGGUUAUAAUCAAUAUUCUGGAGAUUGAAGAAGCUGGAGAUUCUUUUACAUGCACAUGCUAGGAAUGUCAUAUCAUUUCUUCUGUGUUUAAUGGCACAAUUGUUGGCCGCCACAGUCUUCCAGGGUUAGAGGGAAGAUUAUAAGCUGUAAAUCUGAGCAUAGUUUUUGCUUUUCUGAUAGCUUAUAUUUGAUCUGAGGGAAAAUACUAACAAUGAAAUAAAACUUCAGAGGGUGACAGAGGCCAUUACUCUGUGAAGGGCAGCACACAGUGAGGGAUAGUCUUCUAAAGUUACAGAGCCAUUCAGCUAAGAGAUAGCUCAUGUCAUUGGCCAGAGUACAGUUUCACACGCCCUUACCAUUCAACUUUCAUCAUGUACAAACAGACAGUUAACGUAUAGUCAAUUAAUAUGGGUCGAGGGCAGACAAAAAGAAUUCAGCACAGACCAAAAGGCUAAAAGCACUUAUGCAAAUGAGUUGGCUGUAUGGACGUUAGACUGAAAACCGUGAAUGCUAACAUUAUUAUUAAGUAGUGUGCAGCAUGUCCUUCACAGGAGUAAAGCACAGGAUGGAUGGGUACACGUAAUGCAAGCAUAUACAUUCUUCCCCAAGAGCCAGUCUUCACCCACUCACUAGCACACCCCUCGUGGAGACACCCCACUCUGCUUUGUCCAGCGCUUCCAGUGUGCCAGCACAGUACAAGCGGUUGCUUGAAAAGGAAACUCCUGGGCUGGAGAGGUGGCUCGCAGGUGAGGGGCACACACUGCUCUUGCAGAGGACCCAAGUUCCAGUCCCAGCACCCACCUUAGGCAGCUCACAACUGCCUGUAACUCCUCCAGGGGAUUCAACACCUCGGCCUCCACAGGUACCUGAACUCUCUCUCUCUCUCUCUCUCUCUCUCUCUCUCUCUCUCUCUCACACACACACACACACACACACGCCUAAAAAAUAAUAAUAAUAAUAAUAUCCCAAUCUUAAAACAAAAAGAAAAAGCAGCUCCAUUCCCUCCCACCCCCAGCACUGAGUGUGUCUGUAGGCCUCGCUGAAGGCCACGCUAGGCGCUGGCUUCUCCCGGAUGCAGGAGCAUUAGCAAUGGAGGCUCACCUCAAGCAUACUUCCCACCCACGUGUGUUCCCCAGACCUUGAUUUUUCUUUUGUGCUUUUAAUUCAAUUCACAUGUGUAAGUUGAGAACCUAUAAAUCACAAAGGGUCUUCCAAACAAUGUUAGUAUGUAAAUAUAAAAUAUAGCAUUAAAUCCCCAUCAUUAAUAUUGAAGAGUAAGUCAAUAUUUGAUAAAAAUUGUCUCAAGGGACUGUGCCUCUCUGCCUGGUUCUAUGCCUCGCAGACUUAUUCAAUUAUUAUUUAAUUACCCGGUUAAAUGUCAUGGCUUACAAAGCAGGGAUCGGAUUAAUAAAAACAGGAGGUUUCUUUUCAGCCAGUCCCACAUUGGCUCGAGCUGAUUUUGUUUUAACCCGUGCCCCACAGGGCAUGGAAUGUACCCUAGCUUUCUGCACCUGCUUCUGAAGGGAGCCGCUGAUUCUGUUUGAUUCCCCCCACCCCUGCCCCACCACUUUUAAAAAAGUUGUUCUGGUUUGGUCAUAGUUUGCUAGGCUUUCAGCUUAUUCUUUACCCCACCUCUUCUUUUCCCCUCUGGGAGCCUUAGUUCUAUAGCGAAUCAAACACCUUAACAAACAGUUGUGCCUGAAACACAGAAAUAGAAGUAGACGCGGGGCCAUGCAGAACCAUCUAUUUUCAAAAGAAGGUGGGACGCCAUGCAGAGCAGUGUCCAAGCCAGCACCUUAGGACUGAAUGGCUUGCUGGUUAAUUCAUCGCUACAUGGUUGCUAUAGCAACGCCUCUAUCGGGAAGCUUUCUUGGCACCUAACCGGACUCUGUUUCCCUGACAUUCGAAGAGGAGGGCGACGACAAUGUCUAAUGAGAAGGCCGCGCGGCAUCAAAUGGCUCUUUUCAGCUUCACCACGUUGGACCAGCAUUUGGGUAUUUUGAGCGUGGUCUUUUGUCAGUCCUAGAGGGCAGAGGGGCCGCAGCUGAGGAGCUGAGCUCGUCUCUGCGACAUGCUCCCUGCUGUUGUUAUAGCAGGCCUGACCACAGGCUCCACAGCAAUGGAAUUGAGACCCCGUGUCAAAAGCUCUGAACUCUGAGGGAAGAUAAGCCUUUCCUCCUCUCAAAAUGGGUAUCUCAGCUAUUUCUUCACAGCAACUGGGAGCUCACUAAAACAAUGCUAAAUGGACAAGGCAGCUUGUAUGAAUGGCCGCUAUCUUGACCAAUGGUAUCUGUAGUCUAAACAGAAAAACCUUUCAUACACAAUUUCAGUGGCUUAUGUCUCCAUAGAACAGAAUUAUAGGUGAUUUUGCUUUUUUUUUUUUUUUUUUUGCUUUUUUUUGUUUUAAUUUACUGUGCUUGCUUAUGCUUUUUGAGUUUUCAACAGUGGGUAUAUUUUGCUGCUUUAUAAAGUGUUAUAAAUGUAUCAUCCAGGGGAAACACUUCUUAUGUUUAUGUCUAGCAAUCUCUUAUGCAUUGCCUGUCCAAAUUGUUUUAGAAGGAAAAUGUUGGCCAGAUGUUUAACACUCACUGUGUCUGAAUAAAUUCAGGUCUAUUCUGGAAA